UUUUCCCAUAUAGGUUAUUACAGAGAUGAUCUCUUCAUGCAUGCGUGAAAAUGGAAAUGCAUAUGGAAAACUGAACAAAAUUUGGCUUCUGAAAAGCAAGAAAGGAGUUUUUGUAUUCCCCUGAGGUGAGAUUGGAAGGGAUUUUUAAGAGACGUUACCAACUCACAACAGAAGCUGGAGGCGCAUCCUUCUCUGCCAGGAGCUCAGCUUCCAAAUAAGCACCCCUUCCUGAUGUGAGCUCAGAACUAAGAUGACACUAAGAGAUUGGAUGGAAAAUCACAGUGGCCCAGCUGCUGCAUUCUGCUGUGUACAGAGCUAUCAGAGAUGGGGAAUGCGUGUGUCAUCCACUUUUCGACAGUACCCGUAACUUGACCCAUCUUCAUUCCUGCUAAAACAUGACUUAUCUGCAACCUGGGUUCCUGGGACCAGGCAUAGUCAGUAGGCACACAGUUGAAAAGAAAAGAGAUAAAUAGUUCAGUGCCAUAAAGGAUUCAUGAAACAGAAAACCAGCAUGAGGAAUACGAUUUUAAGCAUCAUCCCCUUGACCCUUCUUGGAAAUAUAGGUUGCACUAAUUUGAUAUCAAGAGAGAUGGCUGGAGUUAAAACAAUCUUUUAGAUAGCCUAUUUUUGAAUAAUGGCUAUCUAAAUAUUUGUAAACAUCUGGAUGAUUGAAAACUUAGCUGGAAGAGCCGUAGUUAUCGUAGUAGCAGCCCACAGGCAGAUACUGGAAUGUUAUCCUGCUGGAGGGUGCAGCUGUGACAGGUACAUGCUGUGCUUAGUCAAACUUCUACUCUGCCAGGCACAGAGAUGAGCAUCGCAUGCUUAAUUUCUCAGGUAAUCUUCCUCAGAUCCCCAUCAACUGGGGCAACAGAACACAGUGGUUAAGAGCUCAGGCAUUAAGUAAGAGCUGUGUGAUCUUUGGCAAGUGCCUUAAUCUCUUGGUUUGCUCUGUGUAAAUAUGAGGAUUCUAUAAUAGUACCUCCCCCACAGCGUUAUUAUGAGAAUUAAAUGAGUUAAUAUAUGUGAGCCACUGAGAAGAGUGCCUGGUCUGUAGUACAUGGUUCAGAAAGAAAAUGCUGGCUGAAAAUCCUUUGUAAAUAAAUAUACCUGGGUACCAUUGCUAAGGAAAGGAGCACAUUUUCUUUUUAGGUUGCACACACAUUUUUCCAAAUUCUCUGUGAAAAGAUUGUACUAAUUCAUACUCUUACCAGAGCAUAUUAAAGUUUGUCACAUCCUCACCAACACUAAGCAUUAACUGUAACAAAGCUCUGCAAUUUAACAAGUGUCGAAGAUUAACUUGUCUUCAUUUAUAUUUCUUACCAUAUAUUGCAUGUGCUGAUGUAUUAAUAGUGUUUCAUACUUCUUGCUAGUGAGUUAAAAUGAUUUUAAUGUUUAUUAAACACGUGUACUUCUUUAUGAUGAAUUGCCUGUUUAUUCCUUGGUCACAUUUUCAAUAUUUGGAAUUCCAAAUGAUUUACAGGAGGUUAAAGACAGUGAUUUUUCCCCCUUGUAUGUGUUAUAAGACUUUUCAAACUUUGAAGACUAAUUUAAAAUAAAUGUGUGAUCCUUGUGAAUUGUAAAAUUUGAAAUUUUAUUUAGGCAAAUCUAUUUUUCUGGUCUUUUAUAAAGGCCACCUUUAAAUAUAUGAUUUAAAAGUUCUUCUCUAUUCCAAUAUUGGAUAAAUAUAUUCAACAUUAAUUCAACAGAUCACUUGGAACAUUUACUAAAGUCAGGCACUGUGCUAGGAUACACUGGGAAUAACAACUAUGAACAAAACAGUGUCUAGGUACUAGAAAAUUUACAGAUUUGUAAGGGAGGCGAUAUUGAAGGGUCAGGCAAAAAGAAGAAAGUAAUAGUUUUUAUCGCAGUGAUUUAUAGCCAAGUAACAAAGGAGAUGUUCAGAGCUUCAUCUCUGUGCUGAAGAUUUCCUUUCCCCAGGUUUCUGCCAUAUACUGAAGUUAGCCAAGGAAGUACAAGGUCUUUAACCAGCAAAGCCAUCUUUGCUUGCAGCUGUAACUUAGCACGUCCAUCUGCAUUACCUAUAAACUGGAGAAGAGCCAGAACCGAAUUCCAGACCAUCAGAGCACUUCCUGAUGCACCAAUGGUAUCAAGCUUUCUCCUCAAAUUGUGUCUCAGCUCACCCUGGCCUGAUACAGAGGCUUUCAUUCAGGGGUUUUUCUAGGUUCCUGUCCAUUUAUUUCCCAGGUGUCUUUUUUUCUGGGUAUAUUGUCAAUCAGUGAUUUUUGUUGCUUUUGUUGCUUUCCUUCAUCUCGUCUUAUGUAUAUUUUCAGGAAUUAUGGAAAGUUUCCAGCAUAUGAUAACCUUCCUCAAAUAUUUUUAGGAAUAUGUAUUUUCCCUGUUAAAAAUAGUCCUUCAGCCAUUUAAGUAGGAAUCUGGAAAUGUAGCAGAAAAUGGUAUGAAAAUUAAAUGUAUCUACACAAUAUACAUCAUAUCCAGGAAGUCCAACGAAUUGAUAUUUUAAAAAUUGCUCUUCUAAUCAAGUUAUUUAGCAUAAUUUAAAUAUGGGUUUAAAGUUUUUGAAGAUUCUUAAGUUAUGCUUUUAUUUUUAAUUUCUUUUUUAUGGUGUAAUCAGAGAAUAUGACCUUUAAAAUUCUGGUAUUAUGGACAAAAUAAACAUUUUAAAAACUUUCAAUUUUCCUCACUGCUCCUUUGCAUUCCACCCCUAUACACACACA